AGGACAACUUCUAGAAUUAUUGCUGCAAAGAUCCGGUUAUCCUCACAGGGAGUGAGUGAAAAAAAGUGGGAAGAAACUAACUUAAUUCUAAGAAAUGAGAGGAUUACAGAUCCCAGAAGAUAAUCAAGUGCUUCAAGACAGUUGAUUAAGCCAAAUUAUAUGUGGUAGAGAAAGAUUUGUGGAGCAGUUUCAGAAUAUAUACACAUGUCUGUCUGUUGAAUGUAUUCCUUCCUCUUACAGGAAGGAAUUCCUUCCAGGGUCAUUGUAUGUGAUAAAGAUCACUUGUAAAUGAAAACUUUGGAGGUUACAGAAGAAGUAAAUGUCAGAAAUGAAGGAAAAUAAUAGCAGGUAAAGGAAAGAAAGGGAGGAAUCGCAGAAAUGAGAAAAACUGAAAAGGGAAGAAAGCAGAGACCACUAAUUAGAAGUCGAGCAUCUUGGAGGAUGAAAUUAUGCCAUAAUUUUCUUCCCUUGUAAGUGAUAUAUAUAUAUAUAUGUUGGAUUGAAUUUUGUCUAUUUUAUCUUCCUUAAGGUUUGUAUGACAAGUGAGGGAUCAAAAGAAGGGAGAAAGGAAGGACAGGCAGUUUGAAAGAUGAAUAAGAUUUGAAAACUCAAGAGGAAAUUGAGGGGAGUUUUUUUGUGAUGACAGGAUACUAUUCUAGUAAGGUUUAUAUGGCAAAGGAAGUUGAUUAGUAGUUCCAUGGUGAUGAAUAUUGCAGUGAACAUUUGCAACUGGACUGCUUGACACUCAGUCUAGAAGGGAGAAGUGGAGACCAUCUUUCUUUCCAGCCCCUGGCGGCACAUGGCCCAUGGACAGUGAAUGAGAUGCUCUGAAAGUGCAGAGGUCCCUUUAGGGUUAUUAGAAACAAGUAUGUUGGAGAAGCAAGUCCAGUGGCUUGGAGGGUCGUUUUUGAUGUCUUGAGGGGAUCCUAUCAGCAGGAGAUACAGAGAGACUCCUACUGACAUCAGCCUUCAUGCACACAUAUGAAAGGAGAAACCAUGUAGCUGAUCCAGCCUGGAGACCAUCGAUGACAGCCUGGAUGAUGGACACAGAUUUCAGAAAAGGAGAGAAGCCAAAAACGUUCACUUGAGAGUGUCAUUUGAAGAGCUGUUACUCCUGUUUGUUGAUCCUGUGCCUGAAGAUUGCUCAGAGCUCUUUCCGGAAGAACAUUCGUUCCUCUGCUGUCUUAGGUGAGUGUU
rnacentral:lncRNA from 1 species